CACACCCCGCCCAGCGCAGCCUCGCCUCAGCAAGCCCAUCAGAAAUCGACUGCUGGCUCUGAUAUCUCUGUGGCGUUUAAACAUGCGAUUUAAUUCAUUUUAAUUUCUUAUACUUAAUAAUAAAAGGUUUACCGGUAUGUUUUAAAUAAUAUUUUAGGAUUGCACUUAAAUGAUAUCGCUGUUGAAUGAUAUUUCAUAUCUUUCACAUUCGUUAUAAUCGGACUGCGUACUGCCUGCGAAUUUGAACUUCAGAGCUGAAGGUCAUUUCAUCUGAGAUCAAUCCGCACGCAACAGCUGGAAUCACUUACUGUUUCACACAAGGAAGGACACACAAGUCAGCCGUUUCCUCAAGUUCACGUCAGAGGGAUACAUAGCGAGACAGUCUCCGCUUGGACUGGCUGAGGAAAGUCUCCUAAAUGGCCCUGGAGAUGUUCUGACUGACUUUGGAGGCUUUUUGGACUGUUUUAUGCCCUCUAUUUAAAGACUUAAUUCUGUAUGUUCAGUCUGUAUGAUAAGUGAAUAAAAAGCUUUUGUUUUUAUGUGA